AUGAACGCUGGCGGCGUGCCUAAUACAUGCAAGUCGAGCGAACAGACGAGGAGCUUGCUCCUCUGACGUUAGCGGCGGACGGGUGAGUAACACGUGGAUAACCUACCUAUAAGACUGGGAUAACUUCGGGAAACCGGAGCUAAUACCGGAUAAUAUAUUGAACCGCAUGGUUCAAUAGUGAAAGACGGUUUUGCUGUCACUUAUAGAUGGAUCCGCGCCGCAUUAGCUAGUUGGUAAGGUAACGGCUUACUAAGGCAACGAUGCGUAGCCGACCUGAGAGGGUGAUCGGCCACACUGGAACUGAGACACGGUCCAGACUCCUACGGGAGGCAGCAGUAGGGAAUCUUCCGCAAUGGGCGAAAGCCUGACGGAGCAACGCCGCGUGAGUGAUGAAGGUCUUCGGAUCGUAAAACUCUGUUAUUAGGGAAGAACAAAUGUGUAAGUAACUAUGCACGUCUUGACGGUACCUAAUCAGAAAGCCACGGCUAACUACGUG
rnacentral:rRNA from 1 species